rnacentral:rRNA from 1 species
AGCGAACGCUGGCGGCAGGCCUAACACAUGCAAGUCGAACGAACCUUUCGGGGUUAGUGGCGGACGGGUGAGUAACACGUGGGAACGUGCCUUUAGGUUCGGAAUAACUCAGGGAAACUUGUGCUAAUACCGAAUGUGCCCUUCGGGGGAAAGAUUUAUCGCCUUUAGAGCGGCCCGCGUCUGAUUAGCUAGUUGGUUGAGGUAAUGGCUCACCAAGGCGACGAUCAGUAGCUGGUCUGAGAGGAUGAUCAGCCACAUUGGGACUGAGACACGGCCCAAACUCCUACGGGAGGCAGCAGUGGGGAAUCUUGCGCAAUGGGCGAAAGCCUGACUCAGCCAUGCCGCGUGAAUGAUGAAGGUCUUAGGAUUGUAAAAUUCUUUCACCGGGGACGAUAAUGACGGUACCCGGAGAAGAAGCCCCGGCUAACUUCGUG